UACGUAGGGACCGAGCGUUGUCCGGAUUCAUUGGGCGUAAAGAGCUCGUAGGCGGCCACUCAAGUCGAAUGUGAAACCUCGAGGCUCAACCUCGAGCCUGCAUUCGAUACUGGGCGGCUAGAGUCUGGUAGGGGGAUCUGGAAUUCCUGGUGUAGCGGUGGAAUGCGCAGAUAUCAGGAAGAACACCGAUGGCGAAGGCAGCUCUCUGGGACGGUACUGACGCUGAGACGCGAAAGCGUGGGGAGCGAACAGG
rnacentral:rRNA from 1 species